UUUAAACCUACCAUUUACUAAUCAUGUGUUCUUUGUCCAAAAACCCUUUUAAAACUCUGAGUUUCUUGUAGCUGUAAUAAGAUGCAACCUCUGAGUUGCAGCUUCUGAAGACUGGCCCUGAUCAGUCCACUGUCACAAUACUGGUUGCCAUAUGAUAACUACUCAGUAACUACCAUGGCAGACAUUUUUGCUGUCUCCUAGGACUUUCUUCCUACAACUCCCCCGCCAACAAUGUAAGAAGACAAAUAACAUACAAACAACAUAAUGUAAUGUAAAAAUGGAAUACAUAUUAGCUUUGGACAAAUGGCUAAUAUUAUUUUCUUAGAGUAUAUAAAUGAAGUAUAAGCCCACUGCUUCCAAUAUGCCCAAACUUGAUUUAUAGUUCAUUGCUGAAAUAUACAAGACACAUAACAAGUGAUUAAAAAUGAAAUUGGACGAGGGUAGUUGUCAAUGUAUAGAGGAUUCUUGUCAGAUACCUCUAUCUCCAUCUAAAACUCUAACAUGAAACCAUGAAGAACUAUUGUUGGUACCUGAAGAGUUAGAAUCCUCUUGGUAGUAAUAAUUGUGCAUGAAUGAAAUCAGCAUUUGGAUGAGGAAAGGAUAUCCCAUAUUGGAAAGUAAUCAUAGCUUUUAUGUUCUUGUGUGUAUAUGCUUUGACAGUUUUUUGGAGACUACAGCCUAUUUCUUCAUGAAACCAAAACUUGGAGAGAAAGAGGUGUCCCCAAAUGUUUUCUUCAGUAUCUGGCAUGAAUUCAGCUCUGACUUUAAAGACUUUUGGAAGAAAGAGAACAAACUUAUUCUACAAGAAAGGUAGGUAUUUUCUUUUUCACAAUGGCAUUUAAAAACUGGAAUUUUAUUAGGUGUAAUACCACUGGAGUUGCCAACAUUCAUGGCCUGAAUGAAAAAUUAGAUGACCCUCAGCCUGGGGCAGCAAGUCUAAAAGGGUGCUGACAUUUGACAGAAUUUGGAGUUUUAAUAAUAAGUGUCAGCCCUAGGCUGUGAUACUACAGAGAAUAGCUGGGAGGGGGGCGGGGUAGGGUCAGUUUGAAGGGACCACUAUCUGGUAAAACAAUUUUUGUCGUGAAAACAGACACACACACACACACACACACACACAAAAGCAAACCAUGUAAGAAGGGUCAAAUAACCCCACUGGGAUAAUAAACCCGCUUACCACUAAACAGGAUAGCAAGGGAUAUCAAGAUAAGAGGAAUAGUUUUUCUGUUUGUUUUUGAUCAAACACAUGGGAUAUUGUCAGUCUCACAUUCUUAUCCAAAUGUCACCAAGAAACACAGAUGAUCAAUAGUUUUUAAAAGGUCUUUCAAUAUUCUUGUGGAAUUGCAUCACAUUUCCUAAAAUAAAUCUUCUCAGGAAUGAAGGAAAAUUUCUCCUGUUAAGUAUAUGAAACAAUGUCUUUGUGAUUAUGAAAUUCCACAGAGGGGUAUUAAAUAUUAAGCCAUGAAGAAAGCUAGCCCUCCCAGCUCAGCCUCCCUAAAUAACUGGGUCUAGUGGGAAAUGAAAGGGAAAUUUAAUCCACACUAUAAAGCAAAGCCUAAUACCGAACAAAUUAGUGUACUUCCUAACAUCCCUGCAGUAACAAUGACUUUGCUUUAGAGCUUUAGAAAACAUACAUCCUGAGAGAUUUGGUUCAUCACUACCACAAAAUUCCAAUUUUCUGCUUACUGUCUUUAUUUUAGUCUGCUUCCAUAUGAAAGCCUAAUGUCAGCAUAGGUUUUGGUAUCUCCUUAAAUCAGGUGAAAUAAUUGCUAAUGUUUAUUGAGCAUGUAGAAAAUGCCAGACCUGUGCCCACUCCUAUGAUUGCAGUCACAUGUCUCUUAACAAUGGGGACAUGUGCUGAGAAAUAAAUUGCUGGGUGAUUUCAUGGUUGUGUGAACAUCACAAACUGUGUUUAUAUAAACUUACAUGGCCAUGGCAUCCCCAGGUAAUUUACUUCUUUGGAAUCAUUGUCAUAUAUACCAUAAGUUACUGACUAAAGUGUUAUACAGCACAUGACUAUAAUUUCUCAGGUUCAUAGAUUUGUCAUAGGAGAAGCUCCACCCCUGUGAAUAGCGGAUGGGAAAAAAGAGCAGUCUGGACAAAAGCAAAACUUAUUAUCAUUAUUAUUAUUAGUUGUCAAUGGACCUUUAUUUUAUUUAUUUUAACAUGGGGCUGAGAAUUGAACCCAGUGUCUCACACAUGCUAGGCAAGUGCUAUACCACUAAGCUACAGCCCUAGGAAAACACUUUAAAUGUCAUUCUAAACAUAAUGAGCUUCGAUCUCAAAAUGCAUCAGUAGGAGUCAGCUUAAAAGUUGAGAUGUUAGUAAUUUAAUAAAUAAUGCUUUAAAAUAGACACAUUUGAAUCAUUUUUACUUUCUUUCAGAUUCAGUCAUGUACUAAGUGAUUUUUCUACUUAAAAAAAAAAAAGAGAAAAGCUUGCUCAGGUUAGAAAAUUGUAAGGGAGAAACUUUUUUUAAAAAAGAAGCUUUUGUAACCUUAGCAUAACGCACACAACUUCCCUUCUUUCAUCCCUAAUCUAAACUUACUGCCCUAGAAAAGGAUCUGAAACUCACUCACACUAAGAUUGAAGAUGGAAAAAAGUAGCAUUUCACUUGGCAUGAAUAUUUGCAUCAUGUCUAGGAUUAGAGACCUUAAUACUGUCAUUAAAAAACAAAUGACAGCGGAGGAAUGGUAUGAUUUGGGCAUCAAAGAGACAGAAAUAAGUACAAGAAUAGCUGCCCUGAUGCACAUCAGGUAAACAAGGACAGGAGCAGUCUCUUCAUGGCUCUUACCUCUACCACCAUGCCAAACAUAAAAACUGGUGAGAUGCCUCCUGGGAGAAAAUGUUGAGACUGAGUCAGAUGCACAGCUACUAGGCAUACUCAGUCUCAUCCAAUGUAGCUUUGUGAGAUACUAUAUUAUCAGCAACAAUCCUAUUUCUAUGGGAUAAUAUAUAUUUGACAUGCCUGAAAUAAGCUUUUCCUCAACUUUCUUACUAUUUUCUAACACCAACCAGAUCUUUUUUAUGCUGCUUGGUGCUUGUGGUGUCUCUUUCAUGCUAUGCGGCUCUUGGACUCAGGCUUGGUGACCCUACUUUGAUUUUGGCAAUAUUGUGAAUUGGCAGGAUACAAGUACUCUUCACUACAGAUUCUAAUUUUACUGAAUCAUAUGCUUUUAAUAAAUGGCUCAAAGGGAAUACACGGCAGGUGAGAGAAUGCUGCUCAUCUUUUGACUUCUGACAUUUGUUAUACCUCUUAGCAAAUGAUAACCAACUCUUCUGAAGAGCAAAGUCAUUCAUCUGAAAGGAACAACUCGGUUCCUUUCUUUAGUGCAGGACCACCUACAUAAGUUCUAGGGAACAAUGUAAAACAAAAAUGCCAGAUCCCUGUUCAGUAAUUAACAACUUCAAGACAGCAAAGCAUUAAACCAAGCCCAGAACCCUUUUGUGAGUUGAAACCCAAGUGACUGCCCAACUGCACACCCUCUGGGUGUGCCCUUUUUCCAUCCUAUUUUCUGUAGUAAAUGGAUGGGUAUUUCAGGAAUGCUUUGAGGGCCCUGGGAGGGGCAUGGAUGGGAAAUGAGGGUGUGGCCAGUUUAGAGUGGGAAACCUUUCAUCAAGUCACCCUCAUGUGAAUAGAAUCUCAAGUAGAAUUACAGAUACUUAAAAAUGGGAUGUUGUUCCCCAACUUUUUAUUUCCCUCCACUGUUAUAAUAUCUAUUAUCAGCAUAUUUUGCUUUAAUGGCUUAUCCUUUACUAACACUAGAUCUAUAUUUUAUACUUUUUUCCCCUUUUUUCUUUUUUCUGUUUGCAUUUUGGUGUUUAUUUCCCAGCAAGAUGGUCCUCAUUUCUGGUAUAGCUAUGAUUUGUCACUUAUCUAUACCACCUUUCCUCUCCUAGUGUCUCUAUAAAUAUUUGCUGAUUUGACUUGUUACAUCAUUGUCUUUGACAUGAACAUGGAAAUAAGAACUUAGCCUGCUAAAAAAAUGAACGUGUUUUCUCACAUGUUGAUUAUUGUAGGUCAUAAAAAUAUCACUGCCAAUACCUUAAGCAAAAAUAAAGACUUAUUUAUUUAUUUACUUAUACACUCAAACCACAGACAUGCAGGGAUGAAAACCUGCCUAUGGAAUGCAGAUUCAACUUGCAGUCAGUGGGAUAGGUGGGUGUGUCUGCACCUCUCUUUUGCUCUGUGUCUUUUUAAAAUGUUCUUUCUGUCUAUUCUUCCUUCUCUUCCUUUUUUUCUUUACUCUUUGUUCUUUAUUUCGCUUUUUCAUCUUCUUCUCUUCUAUCUCUAUCUCUAUCUAUCUAUCUAUUUCUAUCUCUUACCCCACUUCUAUCUCCCUCUUUCUACCUCCUACUCUCCCGCAAUUUUCAAGCCAGGCUGCCCUUUUCAGAGAGGGCACAGCUUACAUUCUCACAACCCAGGAGCACAGACUACUGUUCAACUUCAUCUAAACAAAAUCCCAGAGGUUAACUCCAAAUGACUUUUGUUCGUCUUUGGAUCUGCCACAGUGGCCCUGGGAUGGGAGACCCAUCUCAGCAGUUCACAAACUAACUAAUUACCAUGAUUGGUAAUUUUCUUCAUAGCAGUAUCAUUGGGGUGAAGAAAGAGCUGUUUCCUCUGCAAAAGUAAACAAUAAUCUACUGCCCUAACUUAUCAAGCCUGUAAAAGUAACCCUUAUAGUUACCAAAAUAUCUUACCAUGGUGGAUAUAACCUGAACAAUAUUAGUGGUGUCCUUGAAAACUUCUUUCCUGAUGAAGUUUUCCUUGCUUUAAUUUGAUAUUUAUAGAUUAAAUAAUAUCUUUAAGGGUUAAAUCCUGUAAUCAUUUUCCUUACCCUGUUUUUCCUAAUUGGUGUCUGGUUAUAGAGUGGUAGAAACUCUGUAUUUUCUGGCUUUGUCCUGGUAACUGGUAUGAUUUAGUUGAUCUAUUUCUUUUUUUUUUUUUUAAUUUUUAUUGUUGGUUGUUCAAAACAUUACAUAGUUCUUGAUAUAUCAUAUUUCACACUUUGAUUCAAGUGGGUUAUGAACUCCCAUUUUUACCCCAUAUACAGCUUGCAGAAUCACAUCAGUUACACAUCCAUUGAUUUACAUAUUGCCAUACUAGUGUCUGUUGUAUUCUGCUGCCUUUCCUAUUGAUCUAUUUCUUAAAAUGGUGAAUUCCUACACAUUCAUAUUAAAUAAAUCUGCUCUUUUCUUGUAGGUGAGUUUAGGAAAAAAAAAAUGAGAACUUUUUUUAGUUGCCCUAAUUGCUAGCUCCAAAAUCAUAAAAAGGCAUUUAUCCUCCAAGAAUCAUUGUUUUCUAAUCUGCAAAAUUGGGUGAUAAAACCUGUCUCAAUGGUGUUGUGUAGACCAAAUAAGAUAAUGUGGUAAUGUAUAUAGUGCAGUAUCUAUGUGCUAGGUGAUCAGUGGCUGUUUCUCCAUCAUUUAAUAUAAAUGAAAUCCCAAUCAUGGCUCCAUACAAUAUGAUGUGGUAAACUGAUAAGACAAGUGGCAUACUGAUAAGUAUUUUAAGAACAUAGUCUGUAAAUACAAGGUAUUAUUGUGACUCAGUUAAUUUCCUGGCUAUAUAAAAUGUCUUGGAGUCCAAGAGUAAAUUUUUAUAUGGAAAUGGUAGUAUAACUUAUACCUCCAUAUUUACACUGUGUGAUUGAUACAAUGGAAUCCAUUUCUAAUGCUUAGAACAACUAACCCAUUGGUCUUUUGUCAUAGUCAAAAAAAAAAAGUUUUUUCACCAGGUUGCAAGUACGCAAACAGAAUUGCUAAUAAGAAAUCCUCCUUUUUAAAGAUCCAGACAUGUCUUCACUGAACAACAUGAAAAUUAACUUUUUAAAAAAUUCUAUUUGACUAUUUUUACUAGAAGAUGGGAGUAAACUAACAUUCACUUAACAUUCCUAUUUCGAUAAUUUGUGCUCAACUGAGUUAUAUGUUCAGAUUUAUAUAUAUCUUAUCAGGAUAAGUUUAACAAGGAAGGGACCAUUUUCAAAGCAAUUGAGAAUAAAUCUGAAGAAUAGAGAUAAGGAAAGAAUUAUUCUUACGUAAUAACGUAUUUGUUGGAUAUCUAAGUGAAAUUCCCUGUUGGAGUGCUAUUUAGUGUUGUUGCCUUGCACUGAUAAAUGACUUUGGCCACCAUUUACCCUUUUCAUUCAGAUACUAAUUUCCAGAGAAAUGACCCAUAAAAUAAAUACUUUUCCCAGGGCCAACUUUCUAUAACUGAAGCUUUGGCAGGAUGAUUGACACACUAGACAGUUAAGUAGUGGCAAAUGGAGGCUGAGAAUGUGUGGGACAUCUCAUUUGCAUUCAUGAAUAGGAGUAAUUAAUUGCAUUAACGCAUAAUAGGCAAUUCAUUCAACAACUAUUUAUGCCCUACUAGGUGCUUAGCAAUGUUUCUGGCAAUGUGGGUCUUACCCUCUAAAUAGAAAAGCAGACCAUAAUUUAAACCUGUUUAAAUUGCAGGUUGAAGAAUAAACAUCAAAUAAUUUUUUUUUUUUAAGAAUCAAUUGGAAGAGGUUCAUUUAAAAAGGUUGUUCAAAGCUAUGGGGCAGAAAAGAUUGAGUGCUUUCCAAGAGAUGGACCGUGAGAUGAAGUGGAUGAAAUAGGCCAGCUCCUGAUCACUCAGGCCCUUAUAAGUCACACAGGUUGAUUUUUGUUGCUCAUCCACUAGAAACCAUCCAGUAUGUUUUUUAGGAAGGGAAUGCCUGAUUUGAUUCAUGGAAUGAGAAGAUGGUUGUUUGCCACAUGUAUAGAAAAUUGGAGAAUGGUAGUAGCCCAGGUGAAAGGUAUGCAUUCUAGACUAGAGUAAGCUAAUAGAGACCAUAGAAAAGGUAUAUUUGGGAUACAUUUUGGAGUAAUGUUCACACAAACUUGCUAUUCCCACAUUCCUGAAUGGACUGGUUUUGGGAUCAGAAAAUUUGAAAUGUUAGUUCAGAUACUGACAAGCGAAUGUUAAAUAGAACAUUGGAGAUCAAGAUAGCAAGCUUCUUUUUUCAUCUCCUAAAAUGCUUUUUUAAAAACCGAGGUUAUAGAAAGAUCUGAAACCCUAGAUAUUAGGAAAUUCACUUUGUAAACUUAUCUUAAAAGGACAAGAAAAAAUCCUAAGGUGGAGUUUAGAUGAGAAAGAACUUUGUGUUUGCUUCUUUAUCUUGACAUAUUCCAAUAAUUCUUUUAUUUUUAAUGGUACUGGGGAUUUAACCCAGGAGCACUUUACUCCUGAGCUAUACCCCCAACUCCUUUUUUUCUUUUUCUUUCUUUUUUUUUUUUUUUUUAAAUUUUGUGACAGGGUCUUGCUAAGUUACUAAGGUGUGAUCCUCCUGCCACAGCUCCCUUUUGUUACUGGGAUUAUGUUACUUGGCCACCAUGCCUGACCAAGAAAUGAUUUUUAAGCUUUAGAAAAUCUUCCUCAAAAAAACCUCAGGAAUUUUAUCUUCAGCAUUGCAAAAAAAAGAAGAAGAAAGAAAAGUAAUAAUAAUAAGCUGUGGGGCUGGGGCUGGGGUUCAGUGGUCAAGCACUUGCCUAGCAAGCUCAUGACUCUUGGUUCAAUCCCCAGCACAAUGUAAAAAAGAAACAAGAGAAAGAGAAGGGGAGAGAGAGGAAAGAAAGUAAAAGAAAUCCUUAUGUUAAAAAGAGGCAGUAGUUCUAGUUAAAGCAUCCCAACAGAGAAUUGAGACCAACACCCAAGAAAAUAGCUUGUCCAAACAUAUUUUUGCCUUGGUAAAAAUUUAAGCAUUGUCACAUCAUUUAAUGUGUAGAAGCUUGUAAGGUUCUUAAUUCUUAAUUCCUCCUCAAAAAUUCUUAAUUUUCCCUCAGCAUUUGCUAAAAAUAUCUUUUUGAGGACUUAGCAAAAUUUAUAGUAGAACUAUCUUGGAGCAAAAUAUACUUCCUGGAGAAAAGAUUUUUAAGAGGUAAAUUUAAAAUUUCUUUAGAAUAAUUUCAAGCAAUUUAAUGAUAAUAAUCAGAGGAAGAUGACUAGAUCUCUUGGAUUUAUAUAAUAUCAGUUCUAAGUUCUUAGGUUUGUGUGGAUUUCUGCUUGGAGACAAGGUCUUAUUUUUAAGAUAAUAGAAAACACAGCAAAGCAAAUGCUCCCCAUAGUUCAGUGUCACAAUUUCUCCAUACUAACUUCAACCCCUUCAGGCAGAGGAAUUUCAAAGCAGUGAAUCCCUCCUCCUGUUCUGCUUCAGGACUUCACUCUUAUCACCCCAGUCCCAUUAUUGGAAGUGAAAUUUUAGAGAAAUUUAAAGAAAUGGAAAGUGUUUCUUUUAUACUUAAAAAUGGGGAGCCUUAAGGUAAAUAACAGAUCAUCAGAAAUUAGUUAUGAGAGACAAGAUGGUCUCUAUCAUGUUGUCCAUAUUGGUCUCUGAAACAGGGUUGAGCUAAUGACAGGUGUUAGUUCAGCACAUGUUGAAAUUAUUUUAUUUGACAAACAGCAGUUAGCUCAUUUGGUUUUGUCUGCUGAACUCUGGUUAAGCCUUAGAAGCAACUAUGAUUUAGCCAUCAAACUCAAAUGUAAAAGUAAUAAUCAAUGAAAGUGUGUGCUGAGUGUAUGUGUCAGGGGCAGUUGUGGGAUGGGGGUAUCAAGAGUGCACGUCAGGAUUAAGACAUUUUCAGAAUGUACAUGUCAGUAUAGAAAAGAAAAAAGGCAGUCUCUGAGUAUUUUGGGAGAGAAAGUCUAGAAAGUUUUAAGAAAGUAGAUAGAAUUGCUGUACUUAAUAUUAAAAGAUACUGUACAUUAUUAGCCAUCGAAGAAGUACAAAUCAAAACCACAGUGAAAUAAACUUUAUGUUCAGCUGGGCGUGGUGGAGCAUGCCUGUAAUCCCAGCAGCUCAGGAGGCUGAGACAGAAGAACUGCCGGUUCAAAGCCAGCCUUAGCAAUGGUGAGGUGCUAAGCAACUCAGUGAGACCCUGUCUCUAAAUAAACACAAAAUAGGGCUGGGGAUGUGGCUCAGUGGUCGAAUGCUCCUGAGUUCAAUCUCUGAUACCCCACACCCACCAGGGCGGGGGGAGGGGACUUCAUGUUCACUAGGAUAGUUAAAAAAAAAAAAACAGAAAAUAACAAGAUUUGGGGAUGAUGAGGAGGUGUAUGGAACUCUGAUACACAUUGCUGGUAGAAGUGUAAAAUAGUGCAACCACUUUGGAAAACAGGCAGUUCCUCAAAAAGUUAAACAUGGAAUUACUAUGUGCCCCAGCAAUUCCCUUCUAGAUAUAUGCCUUAGAGAAAUGAAAACAUAUCCAAACAAAAGCUUGUACACAAAUGUUCAUAAUGGCAUUAUUUAUAAAAUUCAAAAAUGAAAACAAUCCAUAUGCUCAUCAUCUAAUGAAUGGACAAACACAAUAUGGUAUAUCCAAACAAAGUGUAGUAUACUAUACAAUGACUAUUCAGCAAUUAAAAAUAUGUGAAGUAUUGAUAUAUAAUUUUCAAUGUGGGUGAACCUUGAAAAUGUACUGAGUGAAAGAAGCCUGCCACAAAAGACUAUAGCUCAAAUUAUUUGACUUAUAUUAAAUGUCAAGAAUGGGCAAAUACAAAUGGUUAGAAAGUACUCAGUCCUUGUCAAUCUUUAGGAACUGGGAAAGAGAAAUAGGGAGUGGCUGCUAAUGAAAUCUCUUUGUGGGGGGGGUAUGGAUCAGAGGGUUUUGCAUAAUCCUAUAAAUGUACUAAAAAAUAAUCAAAUUGUUCACUAUAAAUGUCUGAUUGUAUAGUAUGUUAAUACAUCAAUAAUACUGUUUUCAGGAAAGUAAAUAGAAUUCUCACAUUAGAUUUGUAAACCUAAAUGGGGCCAUAGUUCAACAUAAGGUCAGCCUUCAGUGAUUUCCAUGUAGAUGGUUCAGUUUUCGAAUCCUACACCAGUUCUUCUUUUCCAUACCUGGCACACUCUUGCCAUUUCCCCUAUGCCCAUGUAGUUCUGUAUGUUCUCAAGGAAAUUAGAUGUUUUAAAAUUUUAUAUGAAUAUUAGCUAAAUCAAAUUUUAGGAGAUAAAUUUGCUGGAAAAGUUGUAAGAAAAGAAAGAAUGGAAAGAAAUCACAUAGCUCAUUCUGAAAUCAAAACGAUCUUUGUGAAUGCAAUUAGUAAUUUAUGAUAGCUUUACUCUUCAGUGAUGCUAUGACCCAGUGCUUUCCCUACAUAAACUCAUUUCAGGAAAUCUGUCAUACUAAAUGAAAAAAGUAUAUUGUCUGAUUAUGUGUGUGUGUGUGUGUGUGUGUGUGUUUGUGUCAUUUUGAAAUUAUUCAUGUGUUGCCAAUAAAAUCUGAUCUACACAAAAGGAGAAAGUUUUUUUUUAAGUUUUCUUAUAGACUAUUUCCAAUAGAAAGGGUAACUACUUAGAAAACCAGAGUAGGUUGUAAUAAAAAUGAUUACAAUGAAUAAAAGUAAAAGGGAAAGGAAUCUGUGUUGCUGUGGGGUAAAGACUUGUAUCUUUUUCUCCUAUUUAAUGGAACUUCCAUACCUUUCUCUGUAUUAUAGUUUAGAUUUUAAAUGCCCCUCAAAGGCUCCUAUGUUAAAUUCUUGGUUCCCAAUGUGGGACUAUUGGGAAGUGGUAGAAUCUUUCAGAGGUGGAGCCUUGUAGGGUAUGCUUUUAAAAGGGAUUGUGGGAUCCCCUUCUUUUCUCUUUCAUAUCUCCAUGUGCUCCUACCAUAAUGUGCUACCAUGGGGCCAACCAGUCUGGACUCAAACCUCAAAAAAAAAAAAAGAAAAACAACUUUUUUCUUUUUAAAUUGAUCAUUUCAGAUUUUGCUUUGUUUUGUUUUUACAUUAACAGAAAGUGGACUAACAUACUUUGGACAUACGUUGGAAAUCCCUGUCACUACAUAGUCCCUUCUUUGGCCUUCCCAGGGCCAUCCUUAGUUAUUGACAGGGACUCACCUUCACUGGUCUUUAGACCUGGGUACUGCUUGAGGGGCUUGCUUCUGUUUAUUAUACAAUUAUGGUUAGAAAUGGGAUGUCUCAACAUCUAUUAGGUCAUUAGAAGAAUUUUGAUCUCAUAGAAAGGAGAAUUUUUUGAGGAAGGCAGGGACAGGAAAAAGACUUUAUAUAGGGCUUAGUAGCCAGUGGACACUCAAUGAAGAUUAAUCAUGCUAAUGCUGAGGAACUGGCUGUAGAAUUACAAUGUGGUCUUGGGUAUUGACAUUUCUAGUCAAUAUAAGUGUGAUCAAUUGAACUAUAGCCGUGGCAAAUCAAUAUCACAUGGCUUGGGUUAUUUUUAGUUCAUGUGGAAAGAUAUUCAUAUUUUUUUCCUCCUUAAAGUAAACUUUAAGUCAUCAUCAUCUAAAUUAUUUUAUAUAUAAUUUUCCCAACCUUAUUGAGGCAUAGUUGACAAAUAAAAAUUAUAUAUUAAUAUAUUAUGUUUAAAACAUGAUGUUUGCAUAUAUGUAUACAUUGUAAAACGACUGCUAUAUACAUCACCUCACAUAGCUAACUUCUUCUUUUGUAGUGAUAAUACUUUAGGUAUACUUGCUUAGCAAAUUGUAAAUAUAUAGUACAUAUUAACUAUAUCACCAUGCUGUACAUUAUCUCCAGACUUAUUCAUUGUAUAACUGAAAGUCUGUAUUCCUCCAGCAACAUAUAUAUAUAUGUGUUUGUGUAGUUUAUAUACAUAUAUAUAUAUAUAUAUGUAAUAUAUUAUAUGUAGAGAUGUCAUAUAUAUACUACACACAAACAUAUAUAUCACUUCAAAUUUAUACCCUAAUGUUUUUGGUAUUUUAGGAGCUAUGAUUUUGAAUUUUUAGAAGUACUAAUCUUGCAGAGUCAAAUAAAUGAAAAUAGAAUUAUAUCUAAUAUAAUUACUAACAUCAUAUAAAUCUCUUAAAAUUACAACACAUAAGCUUUCAAUCAUCAUAAUAAUAUUAAUAUAUAAACAUACCAGCAGCUUUUCUGCUCAAUAUGUUUUAAUGUUGUCUUAUUUGAAGCCCAUGAGCAUUUUUAUUUUGUUAUUGUAUCCUAUUUUGACUUAUUUUGUCUUUGUUUCCCGAGUAAAAUCUGAGAAUCCCUGCUACUCUGAAUGACUUUCUAAGUUUGAAAAAUUUAUUUAAUCAACUUUAUCUGUCAUUUUAUCUUCUUGGUAAUUUUAAAUGAACAUUUAAAUCCAUCAGUGUUGUCUCCAUGCUCUCCCACUUGGCCUUGGCCAUGUUCCACCUCCAAUUGAUUAUAGAGGCCAAUCCCUUCAUUUAGGAGUAGCAGUUAAGCUGGCACCCGAGUGUCACACACUGUAUCUCGAUGAAAGAAAGAGUUCCGGGCCAACAUGUCUCCACAGCUCAUUGAUCUCCCUCUGGAGAUAGACUGGUAUGUCUCCUUACAGAGUCCUUCCUUGAAUGAUUUAAAACUUGAUGCUGAGCUGUAUAAAGUCCUGUUUAUCCAAACAGCUAUCCAGCUGUGCCUACAGAGUGGGGAUCAUCCUGAGAGCUACCACUUCUAACUUUACACAAAGGGUAUGCAGACCUCUCCUGGCCUGAUCUGCCUCUCCCCUUGCAUUGUGUGGAGUUGGCUAAUGGCUGGAGCUGGCAAAGGGAAAGCUAAGAUUGGAGAGGGAAGAUAUCUGUAUCCUUGUGCUGGUGCAGUCAGGAAGUAGACGUCCCCUGUUCCUUGGAGACAAGAAAAUUUAAGCUUCCUGGCUAUUUGUAAAGAAAUAUUAAUAUUUUACUGAAUAGUGUUGAUGAGCACAGAAUUAGGGCUGUGUUGCCUUGAAUCUAAAGCUGUUUUGCUGUGAGCGGAGUGCUUGUAGUCACUCCUAUCUCUUCUUGGGCUUUACUGUGUUCUUCUGCCCCCGGGGUGGUUCUGGGGUUGAGCUGGGAGAUGACUUGACUGGAAUGUUCCCUAGAGGAAAGGCAGUACCCUGCAUUAGAGUGCUGGCUGCUCGUUCCCUGAGAGAGUUCUGAUCCCCUGAAUUCCAUUAAUCCAAAGAUGACCUUUGUCUCUAGCAAAUAAGACAUGGAAGAGUAGAACUACUAAGCAGUAGAAGGUGUUCUUGACUUAGUAUUUCAUCAAGGUAAGCCUGUGGUAGGAAUAGGGGGAGGCAGCCCACAGUCAUAAGACAUGAUAGAAACACAGUGUUAUUUUUUAAAGAAACAGAAUAUGUUUGCAGUAACAUUAAGGAUUUAGUAUUUUGCUCUAUAUAUUUAAAUGCUAUUAAUAGUUCUGUUUUAUGAUAUGAGCAUCUAAAUUGGGCUGCAUCUGUUAUCACAUUGAAAAAUGAUAAAGACUGCAAAUUAAGUUAUAGGCAUUCACUCUUUUCAGGGCAGGGGAGAGUGGGAGUACCAGGGAUUGAAUUCAGGGGCAUUCAACCACUGAGCCCCAGCCCCAGCCAUUUUUCAUAUUUUAUUUAGAGACAGGGUCUCACUGAGUUGUUUAGUGCCUCGCUGUUGUUAAAGCUGUCUUUGAAGUGGGAAUCCUCCUGCCAUUAGCCUCCCGAUCUUCUAGGAUUACUGCACCAGUGUGCCAGCUUAGACUUGCACCCUUAAUGUGUUGAAUACUCAUAAAUAGGCAUUCAUUUCUAAGUUAAAAUAGCUAGAAGUGGAUGUUUAAAGUGAGAAUCCCCAUCCUUGAAGUUUUAAUUUGCCAAAAAAUAUGUAUUGGAAUUGAGCCUCAAAAAAUUGUUGAAUAAGGAAAAGGAGGUAAAGUGCUAAUUAUCUAAUCUUUAAAAUAUCAUAAUUAUCAUUAUGUAUGUGGUCAGUAUAUAAGCUACCAAAAUGUAUUGGAGAUGAUCCUCUGAAAAUUGUUGCAUAAAGAAAAAGGAAAGAGAAAACAACCAACUCUUUCAUCUUUAGAAUAUUCUAAUUAAUAUUAUGGGUCUAGAUAAUACAUAUUUUGCAAAAAUAAAGCACAUCAGACAAAAGGUAUAUCCAGAUAUAUCUUAAUUUUAUUAGGUGAGAUUAUUUUUAAAAAUUCACCUCUAGAAUUACACUCUUACAGCCUUGGGUGGGGGGGUUGAACAUUUUUGGAAAUUUUGAUAAAAUUCCAUUUGGCCACUUUAAAGCUUUCCAAGAAUAUGUGGGAGAUAAGUAAGAUGAGGUAUAGUUAGAAGAAGAAAAAAAGUGUAUUUUAUCAGUUGAGAGCAUUUCCAGUGUUCACAAAUAGCUCAAAAACUUUCAUUUUAAAAGUCAGACUAGAUGUGAAUAUUAAUGCGUUCUUAAACUCAAAUGCUAUUUUUAAGACAGAAUAUAGUAUUUUAAGGUGUAAUUCUGUAUUGAGUUUGUAUUUGGGUUUAUUUCUCAUGACCUCUGAUUAGUUUUCUCAAUGUUUUCAGUUUAUAAAGGCUGAAUGUUAUAGUCAGUAAAAGAAUGGCUUUUUAGUUUAAAAGAGCUAGAUUUGACUAUCUCUGACAGUAUCUGUAUAAGCCUCAGCACAUUGAUUUACCUCUCUGACCUCAGUUUCCCCAUCUAUAAAAUGAAAGUUCUGACAGUACCCAGUUCCUGUAAUUAAUUAUGUUAGCUACUAAGUACAAAACAUUUAGCACAGUCUUACAUAUAGAAACUUCUCAGUUAACAUUGGUUGUUGUCAAAGUCAUUAACGUAUUGGUAUUAUUGUCAAUGCAAUAAACUUGGUGUUAAUUAGAAGGAUUUGAUGCUAAAAUUCAUAGAAGCUAAACCCCACACAAUUCUAUUCUGUCAACCAUUCUUUUUUGUUUGUUUUUUGUUGUACUAGGAAUUGAACCUAGGGGCAAUUCUACCUUUGAGCUGUAUCCCCAGCACUUUUAUAUUUUAUUUUGACUCAGGUUUUCACUAAGUUGCCUAGGCUGGUCUUGAACUUGUGAUCCUCCUCCUCAGCCUUUCAAGUGGCUGAGAUUAUAGACAUGUGCCACUGCACCCAGCUCCACCAUUCUUUCUCAAUUCUGUUUUUUCCAAGGCAUGAAUUGAGGCAAUACCAAUUAUAAGCUCUUAACUUUGAGAAAUUACUUAAUCUCAGUCAGUUUUAGCUUUCCAAUUUGUACAAUUGCAAUAACAAUCUCUAAAGUACAUGACAUUGAAGCUAUUAAUGAUAUUAAGUACAAAAUUUCCAAGCCAAUGAAUAGCUCAUCACUGGUGCUCAAUAUCAUGAAUACUACCAUUGAUUUUUAAGUUACUGUUAUCAUUAUGUACGAACUUAAUGUUUUUCUCUUCAUGAGUAAAAUAGUAAGGAAAAACUUGGAAAAGAAGAAGAAAGCAAUUCUUAAUAAAAUAUACUGACUAGGAAGAAUAAUAGUGCUUAAAAUGGUGAAAAACACAGAGAUUAUAAAUCACAUGAGAUUCUCUGUCAUUGUCUGUAUCUAUGUUUAUUAGCAUCCAUAUCUGCCACUCAAUAUUUAUAACUAAGCCAAAAGUGUUCUUGCCACGGAACCUUAUGCCUUCUUCAAUGUGAAUAUAGCAGUUUUUGUAGGUUUGUUCUGUUUUGUUUUCUUCACCAACUCAACUAACCCCUGCUGAUCAUCAUCAUUUUUUAAGAUGUGGUUUCUAAUCCCUUAGAUUAUAGAUCUGUAUUUAUGGCAGAGUUGUAUUGCAGUUCUUUAAAAGACAAAGAUUGUUUCUCUUUGGCUCUCUUUAUUUAUUUUGAUGUACUCAGUUAAACAUUAAUCAAAACCAUCAACAGAGCAUGGAAAAACAGACGUUGGAGUUUAACAUAGAGGAGGAGCUAAGUCUAUUUAAAUUACAAAGUCAGGAACUAGAAGCUAGAUGAUGUUGUUACAAAUUACAGAAAAUGAAGGAAAAGCUAUUUCCUUUUAGUAUCAAGGACAGACAGGUGGAUGGAUGGACAGAUGAAUGGACAGAUGAGGAGUUACUGGAAAUCACACAACCAUUCAGGAAAGAAUAUAAACCUCUGUUAUUGUGAGGAAAGCUUAAAACUGCCUCCUAUUUUAUAAAGAUCUGUACUUCAUCUGUUGCUAGUAAAGAAAAUAAAGUCACCCACAGCAUACUCUGUCACUAAUUACAAUCCACUAGGGUUUUCCAGACACUCUAGUGAGAACCAAAUGCCACUCACAGCCUCUUAUCCAAGAAAAAUAGGGAUAUGACCAUAUGUAAACUGGUGGGUACAGUGAAAAGCAAAUGUGUUGACUUCCAAAAAUAUUUUAUUUUAUUCUUUAUGAACAGUUAUGAAAAGAAAUGUCCAUACUAAUGCUGACCUUAUAAAAGCUAAGAAUGAAUUAUUCAUAUCCAAAUUCCUAAUUUUAAGAAUGAUUAUCCAUUUUUACCUAAUUAUUUGAUAAAAUACCUAACAAGAAUAAUGGAGUUCACCACCUUUUGGGAGAAUAGUCAUAAAAUAAUUUUAUUCAUAAUUUUAUAAUACAAAGUCAUAACCUCCUAUCUACAAUUUGAAGACCCCCGAACCACUGGAAUCAUAAGUUUAUUCAUAAGGGUUAUAGCAAACUUAUCUAUCAGCAGAAUUCAGUUUAAACAUGAGGCUGUUCAUUGUUUUUACUCAGCCCACUUAGUGCGAGUGUUAAUUUGCUUACUAUAGAAAUAGUGAUGUGUUUGAUUAUUCCAUGCUACAAAAGACCGUUUUGGUAAUGUUAUAUACCAUAUUCCUAUUGGAAAUUGGGAAAGUUCUGACUUCUGUAAACCAUCUGGCCCUAAGGGUGAAACAUUAUAAAAUAAAUGGCAAUAUGGUUUAAUGAACCACAUACUCACUAACCCUAAUUCUACUUUCUCUAGAAACACAGAGAUGAAUCAACCCCUUUUCUACUUAGAGAAUCUUCUGAUACUUUUGGUAUAAAGCAACUGUUCAUAGUUGAUACCAGGUGCUACCAGGUUUUCUAUUUCCCCAAUAUGAUAUUCUCAGUUCUCUUAAUUGUUUUGGAGUCCUUGGACUUUUUUAAUUCAUUUAGCUUUCUGUUCAGCCUGGGCUUCACUUGAUAUUUUAGCUAUGUCCUUUCUAGUGUGCCUAACCCUUCACCAUCCUUGCUCUGAGAGAAGUUCUCCGAGCUAGGCUAUUCUGAAAUCAGUAUUGCCAACCUAAGGUACAUUCUCUAAGGAUUGAAUAUCCUGAGCCAAUUCUUGGGAAACAGGAGGCGGAUACAAAGUUCAAAUUUUCAUUUUCCUUUGUAGUCACUCACAUUCUGCUUUCUCUGAACCCUGAAUACUGCCUUGCCUUCUUCCCUCUAAACUUAGGACUUAUCAACAUACUUUAGUGAAGUCAUUCAACAUACAACUAGAGGUGUGAACAAAAACAUAUCUCAACCCUGAUGGAGCUUUCAUUAUCAUGGGAGCAGAUCAUCAAUAAAUAUAUGCUUCGCCCUGCAAAAAAUAAAAGUACAGGCCAAGGAAAGCCAGCGUUCUAUAGAAGGUGGUUUGUUUUAUAUAAAUUCGCCUGACAGUGUUUCUCUGAGCAAUAAGUAUAGGGACCUGAAAGAAGUUAGAGAAUAAACUAGUUGAAAUCUGGAGGAAGAACAUUCCAGACAAGAAGCAGCAAGUACAAAGGCUGAGAGAGAAAUGCAUUUAGCAUGGAGGCUAAAGUGGAUGGAGCAGAGUAAGCCAGAGGAGAGAAGUAAAAAAAAAUAAUAAUAAUAAUUCAGGGAGAGAGUCAGAAGGUACAGUCUGGUGGACCAAGUGAAAACAGGUUUUGAGAAGGAGGGCAUAUGGGAAGAACCAUGCUGCUAGUGCUAGUAUGAAGAAGAGGAGUUCUUAACUUUUGGAUUUAGAAUGUUGUAGGACUUGUCAAGAGCAAUUUCUGUUGAGUGGUUAGGGACAAAUGGCUGAUUAAAUGGGAGCAGAGGAAGUAGAGGCAACUCUCUUGAAGAGUUUGUACAUGAAAAGAACCUCAGCAAAAGGGCAUUUAGCUAGGGAGGGGAGUGGAUUAAGGUUUUUUUGUUUGUUUGUAAGUGGGGGAUGGUAGGAUAAAAAGCAUAUUUGUAGCGGAUAGGAAUAAUCCAGUAGAGAAAAAAUUGUGACCCUUGCUCCCCCUUAAUUAAUGUGUGUGUGUUCCCUGGUCCAUCCCUGCCUUAUAUCUCCCAAAUCUUAUUCCUUAAUUAAGCCAUUCUUCCUCUUGCAUAAUUCUAAGCCAUUCUGAUAUAAAUAGCUUUGUUGUGCUUUUUUAUGAGUUUUUCAGGGAGGAAAUUGGUUAAACUCUGAAUAACUGAAUUUCUGGUUUCUCCCAACCACUAAAAAAAAAACAAAAAACAAAAGUCUUUCUAAAAAACUGGAUACAAAGGAUCUAUACACUUUAUCCUUUCUAGAAAAGUGUCAAAACAACAGUAUAAAUUCCAACUGUGCUAACUUUAAAUCUCACUAGUUAUAAUCAAACGUUUCUGAACCACAUGCAAAAAAGGAAAAAAAAACAGAUUAAGAAAAUAUCUUAACACAGGUGGAAAUAGUAAAAGGAUGUUUGUAUGAUAUAUGUCAAAUGUAGUAAAUAGCAGUACUCUCCUAUAAUAAAGGAUGAACUUUGCUGUCAAAUAUAGUUUUGUAAUAGUCUUGGCCAUCACAUAUGGCAGGAAUUUGUUUUAUUUACUAUCAUAAGUUUGUGGUACCAGUGACUAUUGUUUUAGCAUUUUUAAGAAAUCUAAAACAUCCUGAAUAUGUACAGAAAGAAUAUGGACAUUUUACAGGAUUUGGAUAAAGGACACAUCAACUGAACCACUUUUGUAAAUUUCAUGGAAAACCAAGUCUAACAUGAAUUAAAUGAUCCAUGAGAAAAACAAACUCAUAUUUUUCUAAGUUCAGAGAUUUAAAAUUAUUAGUGAUGAACAAUGUGAUUAGAAGCAUAAACAUCCUAACGUGUAUACAAACCCGAAUAUUGCUAUUUUUAGAGAUUCCUAAGCUUGUAUAUAUUUUUUUAAAAAGUUAUGAAGAAAAGUUCUAAAUAUCACUUUGGUGCUUUUUUUUUAUUUUUUAUCUUUUGAUGGGUUUUUGUGGUUAGGUGGGAGGUCCUGAUACCUUAUUAAAUACUUAUUGGAAUACUAUGAAAGACAGCAUACAAUUCAGGCUCUUUUUUACAAAACGGAAGGUGAGCCUUGCUAAGAAUUUUAUAGCAGUAUAGAAAGUGGACAUUUGCAGGGCUUGCCUGCGAUACCAUUGGUCUCUGCUUUUCAGUUGAGCCUGUUAUGAUUUGAGAUUAUAGAGGAAUUAUGUUGACUUUCCUUUAACUGUCUUUUUUUCCCUUUUUUUCAAACUUUAACCUUUUAUCAUCAUCAAAAAACAGCAUGACAUUUUUGAGGCCUUAAAUAUUUUCCUCUCCUCAGAAAUACCUUCACUAAGUUCACUUUUCAUCUCAGUUUAUAUUCCAGGUUUUUGCUAAAAAAAAUGUUCCACUGAAAAAUCAAUCUUAUGUACUUUAAAAUUAUCUCAAUUACAAUUUACAUUCCUCAGAGAAAUGUUAAAAAUUUCUAGAAAGUAGGAUCUCAAAAAAUGUGUUGACAGUUUUAUCAUCUUCAGACAAAUCUUAUGUACUUCUCUUUUUCAAAGAGGAACACCUGUAGCCCAUUGUGUUUCCAUUAUGCUUGCCUGAAGAGUUCAAAAUGUGUGCAAUUAUAGAGCUUCCUUCUCAUGCCUGAUAAAACACAGUUUUCUAAGUAGUUUCUUUUUUAAGAAAAAAAUGUUGAACUGACACAUUUUUAUUUGUUCAGUUAUAAUACUCAUUUUUUAUAAUCAGAUGAUUCUAUAAUAACAAUAUAAAGAUGAAUAAAUAAAUACAAUUAAUAUAUAUAGUAUUUAAUCUGUAGUACAUAUAUGUUAAUAAAAUUAAGAAAGUAAGUAAAUGAAAAAUAGGAAGAUAGGGAUGGCUGCAGAUUCAUUAAACACUAAAAAUGUUGCUUUUGUUUGUUUUUAAAUUUUCACAGUCAUUAUGCUGUUCUCCAGGGCAAGGAUUCUCAAAAUGUGGCUCCUGGACAUAUAUUCUACCUAGGGACUUGUUACAAAGCACAUUCUUGACUUUCUUUCUACACCUCAUGGGUAGGAAUCAGCUGUCUGUUUUAAUAAGCUCUUCUCUGCACACUUAGGAACCAUUGUUGUAGGUCUUGGGUAAUAAUGAUAUGGCUGGUUACUGUGAGGAGUUCUUGCUUCCCCAAAUGCUGAAGUGUAACACUAGAGAAGCACACCCGAGGUAAGUGUUAGAGUAGAAAGUAAAAGGCUUUAUUAAAGCAGAGAAGACCCGCCCCCCUCCCCGCCCAAGAAGGUUAUCAAAAAGGUCCAAUGGUGGAAUGGCUGUGGUGGUAGAUUGUCUGUGUUUGUCUGGAUUUGAACUACAGACCUGCCGCAAAUUGAUAUAUGACCCUCAUCCAAUAAUUUGAUCUUUGUUGUCAGUUUCCUUAUCUGUAAAAGCCAGUUGACAGUAUCUAUCUCAUAAGUUAUUGCAAGAUAUAAAGGAGAUAAUGUCUUUAAACAUUCUUAGCCUAGGGCCUGGCACAUUAUAAGUUCUCAGUAGGUGUUAGCUGCUGUUGGGAUGAGCCAGGCCCUGUGGUGGGCAUAGAAAACAGAAAGGAUUCUGCCUUCAAGGAGCUUAUAUAGUAGUAUAUUUUAGGAUUCUUAUUCUUUGGAAGGUUCUCUGAAGGAAAGGGAUAAUGAACUUUUAGCUAUAAUGGGGAUUGAAUCCAGAGGCACUAUACCACUGAGCUAGAUCCCCAGCACUUUCUAAUUUUAGUUUUUAUUUUGGGACAGGAUCUUCCUAAGUUUCAGAGGCUGGUCUCAAACUUGCAAUUCUUCUGCCUCACCCUCCUGAUCUGCUGUGCUUACAGAUGUGUGCCACCUUACCUGACCCAAGUUUUUUCUCAUAAACCAUCUUUUCUCUAACUGGUUCACCAACAUCCCAUGAGAGAUUCCUUAGAUGUCUCGUUAAAAUGAAUGUGUAUUACAGCUAUGUCAUUUAUCUUUUCAUGAGGCUAGUUUGAUAUGAUUUCAUGUUGAAUCCUUACAGUGUCCUUCUAAUCAUACACUGAACACAAAAUCAGUUUCUCUCAAGAUAGAAGAAAGUGUGAUACUCUAACCAAUUUCAUGGUUUAAAUUUCAUGUAUAUUGAUUCAAACUAAAUUGUUAUUUACAGGUGGAAUUACCACAGUAAAUCAAUAAACUCAAAGGUUAAGUCAAACAAAAUCCUGGCUAGUUUAAACAAAAUGUGAAUUGGACAUCUAGAUACAUUGCUAAAGAGAUUGCAAAAGUUAAGAGAUUCAGAUCAAAACCCAGUUAGUUACCAAAAUUCACCCCUUUGAUUCUUUAACUCAGUUGUAAGUUCCCUUAACAUCAUCAUUCACUCAUUGAGUUAGCUGUUUUUCAAGUAUCUAGUAAAUACUAACCUUUGUGAUCUGCAAUGUUAGGCUCUGGAAUGUAAAAAAUGACUAUAUGUGAUGAUCACUUGACUCAAGGAACUUGCUAUUUAGCAAUGGAAAAAAAUAACUAAGUAAAUAGCCAUAGGUCUUUCUUAAAAGAAGAAUCUGAAGGCAGUUAUGUGAAAGCCCAAGUAUGGCAUCAAUAAACCUUCCUAGAAACACUUCCUAUAGGAAGCUAAUUUUGAGCUUAACUUGAAGGACUCUUGGGAGAGCACAGGAAGAAAAAAAGAAAAUGGGCAUUCCCAGGGGACAGAUUAAGCAAAUAAAAAUGCCCCAUAGGGGUGGGAGUGGUUCUCUAUUGUUGGAGAAUAAAGGGAAAUUAGGUUAGUUGGAGCCAAACUGUCAGUGGGCUUGAAUACCUCACUAAAGAACUUAAUUUUUUCUUGGCUAAUGAAUAAGGAGCUCAGAUGAUUCCCAUGUUUGUGAAGGAUGAAUUCUGCAAUAUAUGGCAAUGGUCCAGGUGACAUAAGGAGGCUUGACAAACAAUUAGGGACAGAGGAAUUAAAGAGGUUGGGACAAAUCAUUGCUGAGGAAUAAUUAAUAGCAGAACUUGUUAACCAUUUGUGUAUGCAUUGAGGGCAUGGUGAAGAGGGAGAAUUCCAAGGUUUAUCUAGCAACCGAUGAAUUUUAUGAGUAGUUACGCUCUUAACCAGGGCCCGGGUGGAUAAGGUAGAGAAUGUCACCUAGGACCUGGAGCUUGUAUUAAAAGUCAGAGCUAGCGAUAUGGCUCUAAAAGCCUUUUGGCAUAGAAAUGACAAUUGAAAUUACAAAAUGGAAAUUUCCUAUAGAUACCAUAGGAAUAGGGGGGAUGACAUGACAUGUGAGAGAAAGUUUAAUAAAUAAAGAAACAGCAAAAGAGAUUAAAGCAGCAUGUCCAGAAAAAUUGUGGAAAACUCAAAAGUUCCCUGAGGACCAAAGAACAAGAGAAUUGAAGGAAUUAGAGAUUUAUUAACCAUUUCAGAGUAAUUAGCAUAGUGGAAGAUAGUAAAGACAAGAAAACAGUAGAUAUGUCAGUUAGGAAAGUAUUGACAGCUUUUUUUUUAAUAAGCAAGGGGUAAAUGGGAAUGAGGAUUUAUGUGUAUAUAUGGUUUUUUUAAUGAGGACACAGAAACAUUCAUUCAUUUUCAUGUAUCCAUAGUCAUUCCUAAAUUACAGUGUUAAGGUCAUCAUACCUAGGAUGGCUUAUCUAUGAAUUAUAAUGUUCUGAAUCUUAAAUAAUCUUAGAUAGUCAUCAAAGAGAUUCAGACUAUAGGUAAUUAAUUCAAUUGCUUUAAUGUAUUUUCUUUUGAAUGACUGAUUCCUCCAUGUCUUUUCACCAUAUAUACCCCCCAAAAAUAGUUUCAAGAAACCAUAAUGCACAUAAUCUCUGCUUAUCAGCUUUUUAUAUUCAUGAAAGAAAUACAUCUACAGUUUUAAGGGCAAAAGCAUAGAACAUGCGUAUCUUUUUUUUUUUUUUUAAUUUUUUAUUGUUGGUUGUUCAAAACAUUACAAAUUUCUUGACAUAUCAUAUUCCACACUUUGAUUCAAGUGGGUUAUGAACUCCCACCUUCACCCCAUACACAGAUUGCAGAAUCACAUCAGUUACACAUCCAUUGAUUUACAUAUUGCCAUACUAGUGUCUGUUGUGCUCCGCUGCCUUUCCCAUCCUCCACCAUCCCCCCUCCCCACCUCUCCCCUCCCCUCCCUUCCUCUCUCUCUACCCCCUCCACUGUAUCUAAGUGUUGUGAAAUCAUAGAUUUUUAAACUACAGGUAUUCCUGGAAACAUAGAUCUUGUUUAUAAAAGCGGCAGACUUGCUUCAUUUGUCACUGGGAAGUGAGUGGAAUAUAUUGUUUGUGAAGCCUGUGCUGGCCCUAUGUGCCGUGGGCUGGGCCAGGCCCUGCUGGACCUCACAGCACAAUGUCCUGCUGUACUUGCUGUUAUUAUUGCUCCUGCUAUCCUGGCACUUGCUCCUCUAAAACUUGAUUUUUCUUCCUGUCACUAGCUACUUUGUGCGUAUUCUAAUUGUUUUGUGUAACCACAUGAGGUGUAAAUGCAGUUCCUUCUCAAAAAAAGGUAAAAACUUUCAGAAAUGAGAUUUUGAAAUAUGUACCUGAGAAAACGUAAAUUCUUUUUAUUUGGGGUAAUGCUAAGUGACAUUUUGGUUGAUUCUGUUCUCCUUAUAUCUCAGGGGUUUUGUAAUUUUGUAUGUGUGUGUUUUAAGUCAUUAAAGUUAUAAAGAAGAGAAGACAAAGCUAGGAAUAAACAUUCCCAAAUCAUCUUUAAUUCCACAAGGCAUCUAAUACCUACUUCUGUGUUCAUCUGGAGAGAGAUUCAAAGCUGGUACUCCUAACCAGCCUUUGUCUAAGGCUCUGCCUCUCACACUCUUCUCUUUUUGGAUAAAAAUUUUUAAUUUACAGGCAGCUUAAGGGUGCUGUGUUUCAGUGCAUUGUGAACUGGGAGUAAUAAUGUCUACUCUUAGCUUACUGUAUCAGGACCUCAGACCAGUGACAUUACUUCUCUGUGCUACACCUAAAUCUCUUAUAAGGCCUGCAUGCUCCAGGGACAAAGGUGUUAUUCUCAGCAAGCUGAGUGGGAGCCUGCAGGAAAUGCCUCCAUCUGCCACAGAUACUUAUAUAGACAAAAUUAUUGAUGUUUAAUGGCAGAAGGGUGGCUCCCUUUCUCACUGGAUUGAACCAUGAGAACAUAUCUGUUUUCUUGAUAAGACUGCGGCCAGCUUCGUGUUUGGUCUAGAAGGUAGAUGAACUGCCUGCAGGCUGCAGAGAUAUCUGCUUUGUUUUCUCUGUAUCUUUGCCAGAGUGUAUCUUCAUUUUUCAUCUCAAAAACUGUUUUUAAACUUAAUUACACUGAACUUUUUGUAUAUGUUGUCCUGACAAUAAGUGGGUCUGGGGCUUAGGGAGGAGAAUGCAGAGCAAAAAAUGCAUCUUUAUGAGGAGAUAAAUGAGAAAUCACUUUCAUUGUUUAGAAUAACCAGUAGUGAAGUGAACCCAGUUAUAAAAAGGACACAACUGGAGGCACAUUUUUUUUGAGAGGAAGAAAAGGAAUAAUAUGAAUUUUAAAAAAGUUUAACAAAAACUAUAGCAACUAAUUUUUAUUCUCUUACAUCUGUCUUUUCUAUGAUAUUGUAAACCUUAAAAAUCUUCUGAUUCACAUAGAAUCAAACUUUCUUUGCUUAAUAAUGUCUAAGCUUAAGAUCUUAAAACAAAAUGAAGCUGUUCCUACUUAGACUACUUGCAUGUAAAGAAGCAAACUUGAAAUAGAUUACUUAGUUUUUUCUUUAGGUGACAUUUUCAACUUUAGUUUUUAGAAGAUCAAUUUUGUAUAGGAAAUUUUAGAGUUAACCUAAACUUUCAUAAUUAAAGAUGUUUUGUUUCAUCCAGGUUUUAUUGUUGUUAUUGUUCUUGUUUGGGGGUGUGCUUUUGUGUGUGUGUGUGUGUAUCGGGUGGGGUAGUUUGGGUUUUUUUUUUUGACCAAGUAAAUAGUUUCAACUGGAGGACAACUUCACAGUGCUAUUCCCCACCAAAGUUUUGUGGCUUCUCCUGUCAAUGGGACUCUAUGGCACCAAGAACUUAGUCAUUAUCUAUUAAGGGUGUCAUGUUCUUUUUGCCUUUAUAAGCUUGAAUUUCAGAUUUUAUAUUCAUUCCAGCAUUAUUUUUUGUCUUCACAGACAAGCUGUUGAAUACGCAGGUUGAAUGGUACAAGAUGACUAGGUGUACAGUAUCUUAGAAAUUUACAUUCUUUGAAAUUUAGGGGUGUGACACCCUGCCUAUCUGUAAGUCAGCCCUCUGGCCUCCCCAGCUUCACAAAUGCAGCUGUGCACACUGAAGUAUGUGGGAGUUGAAGAGGGGAUAUGGAGAAGCCCAGAAGCAGCUAAAAUUACUGUCUAGAAGUCCAGGAACUCCAUUCCUUUAGCUAGAACUUAUCUCAGCAUCUUACUCUAACUGGAGGCACCCUUUAAGUCAGCUUAUUUAUCUGUUUGUAUUAACUGCUUUCUCUCUGUGUAAACCUCUUUUUAUUUUCUUCCUCCUCCCUUCUUCCAAAAUGAGACAUACUGGUGAUCUUAUUUAUUUAAAUGUUAUCUCUGCUGUGCCUUUUCAUUUAAAACCUUUAAUGUUGAUUUGUGAAAUGGACAUCUUUUUCCUGCUCAGUUUCAGAAACAUUAGGCAUCAGUGAAGGGGUGAGGCAGGAGGAAGAGAAGAUGGAAAGUACACAGGCAGUGACUCCAAAGACCUGAAAUGGCAGAUGGAAAACCCUCCACCAUAGCCAAUGUAGGAAGUUGUUGAUAUUGACCACUGACUCUGUACCGACUUCUCCUUCAUUAUUUUUCUCAUUUUUGCCAACUCUGAAAGCAUGUCUGACCUCCAGGGACACAUUCUUUUUUUCCUGUGUCAAGUGUGGAAAAAAAAUUUCUUGUUGUCAGAGUUGUGUUGAAAUAAAAUUGGCAUUUUGGGGAAGCAGCAUUGCUAGGAAACUUAGGAGUGGUGGGAAUCACAAAGUGCUGACGCAAGCAGAUUUUGGCAGUCUGGUAAAACAGAGAAAGAUGAAGAAGCCUUGUUGUCCUAUAAGGUCAAUUCAGAUGCACAGCUGGACUUCAGACUACAGUUUCUCAAAGUGGUACUCACAGGCCACCACCAUCAGAUUCUCUUGGGUGAUGCUUCUGAAUGUAUAACACAGGGCCUAGGUCAGAAUGAAUAUGAUGGGCCUAGAGAGCUGCAUUUUAAGAGACUAUCCAUGAAUCUUUUCAUUAAAUUAAAGUGGCCUAUUUGCCAUUCUGGUUCUCUAUUCUCCAGCCUCUCAAGUCUUUUGUGUAUGCACCUGUAGAGAUACAUACUCUAGAGGUGAUUGACUAACUCUCAUCAGACAUAUAAGAAACUGAGGCGUAAACCAGAGCACUGGUUUGAACUUUGGCAUCCAGUAGUAUGGGGAUGCUUCGGCAGCAGAAGGGGGAACUGCUCAUGGUUGGUGAAGCUCAGUGUGUGUUCCUUGACUCUUUGCAUAUGUUCCCCUGAAAGUCUUCUUUUCUUUCACCUUCAGACCCAUUUUCCCUUUCCAAGAAAAGCAUGAACAAUUAAAAUUUAUCUUUUUAACAGGCGAAGUUGUCAACAUGCUCCAGAAAGAUUUUCAUAGCCCCUGCCCACCAACCCUAGGAACCUCCUCUGGGACACAGUCAUACUUGACACAAAACUAAGUGGUUGCCCUAAAUGCACUGUUGUCAUCUGCUUACUUAUGUGUCUCUCCCCUAUUAGGCAUUGAAUUUAAUUGUCCUUAUAAAAUAGAGCUGCGCCCAGACCCUGACCUGGAGUUACUACUCCAUAAUAAAUGAUUGUCAAAUAAAUGGCUAAGCCUCGAGAACAUGUGAGGUUCCUUGACGCACAUUCUCCUCCAUUUUCAUCAUCUCUGCCAUCAGGAAUUUGGUUUUGUGCAAAAUUAAGUAUGUUUGUAUUAGAAUCAUCUUCCUAUGAUCCUCAUAAAAAUGUGUUUUGAGAACAAAAUAAAUAGGAUAAGGAGAAAAUUAGGAUGCUUAAGGGAUCUAAAUACUUACAAAGUAAAAUUUCUUAAAUGCCAUGAAAUGAUUUCAAGAACUCCAAGUAAAUUUAAGAGGGGACCGACUGGAUUUUGGCUAAGUGCUGGAAAAAAAAAAGUGUCCUUAAUUCCCUAUCCAAAUAUUUCAACUUAAAUUUACUGGUAGCUAUUUCUGAGGAAGACAGGGACUCUACAAUCCUUAGUUUGUUAUAAAGAAAAUGUUUUUGUGGUCAGAUGUUUAGGGGAAGGAUUAAAGGCAAUUUAUGGCUUGGGCAGAAAGUAAUAAAAGUGGUAACAAUGGAGUGUCAUCUAAAUUGUCAUCAUAUUCUGGAAUUACUAACAGUAUCAACCUGGCAAGCAUUUUACAUCUAAAAGGAAUUACUUUCAUUUGUCAUGCUUUAAGGUAAACUUAACAUCAAUCUUGAGCUUCUAACCUGAACUGUUUGUUUCAUUCUAUUGUUUAAGAAGAGGAGUGAGUCCAUUGUAGAGAAGAUGAAUUCUGCCUGUAAACCAUUUGCCAUAGGAUUUAAGAAAUAUAUUUAUAAUUCUUCUUUUUCAGGAAAUUAGACUGAUAAUCUACACAAAAUGUAUUUUCUUGAGAUUAAACCGUAGCCUGUUCAGUUUCUCCAGAAAUACAUCAGUUUUAAUUCCCAUGGGGAAAAAAAUCACAAGAUUAAAAAAGUAAAUUAACCUGAUAAGUUAUAUUUCUUCUUGUAGCACCCCUUUUUAUUAAGAAUCCAGUUUACAGAGUCCUAUUUGUUUAAUUAGAGCAAUCAUAACUUUUUAUAGUGCCUUACAAUUUAUAAAGUAGUUUUAAAUGAAAUUCUGUUUAAUAUUUGCAACCACUGUGUAUAGUAAUAACGUAAGUUUCCAGGUGAUUGAUUCCUUCCAUUAUUUGAGGGAGUCUCAAGGUUCACAGGUGUUAGGACAUUACCAGGAUCAAAUAGCAGUGCCAAAUAAUGCAGGAUUUGUCUCCAAGCAGGCAUCCUCUCUAAAGUAUACCUCUGGUAAAUCCAGUGCUACUUUCCUUGGAAUGUAUGUACAAAAAGAAAACCUACAAGUGUUAAAAUGUUAUUACUGCUCACUCUUUUCAUUUCUCUCGCAAAUUAAAUGAUGAUUGGCUCCUACGCUCAAUGAAGUUCAGUUUUUAGAAACUGCCCAACUAUUAGUUGCAAAUGACUUUUAUGUAUAGGUAAGUGUGGUAUGGACAAUGAUCCAGAAGUAGUUUUAAAUAAACACGUGAUAUCCUUUAAUUUGGUAAUGCUUCUGAUUUAUGUAAUGGUGCCAAGCCUAUGUAUGUAAUGGAGAGCCAGUCUCAGGGCUCACCCUCAUCCAGAGAAGGAGACCCUCUGCAUGAGUAAGCCUGAAUGGCAAUGGCAGUUGAUGUUUUAAAGUCAGUAUCAUUCAACCUCCCUUUGCCAGUGGUAUUUCUCUGAUAAUUCAAAUUCUUAAUGAGUUGAUGCUUGUUCACCUAAUAUAAGAUGGAUUGUAGUGAUCUAUGGAGAUUGCUCUUUAAAUAAAUCGUCUUCUUCCCUCUCAGAGUAAAAGAAGCCGAAGAGGUGUGCAGGCAGAAGAAAGGAAAAUCACUGUAUAAAAUAAAACCAAGACAUGACUCUGGAAUUGUAAGUAUCUAACUGUUCUUUUUUUUUUUUUUAACUUGUGAUUUUCUUUGGCUUUGGAACCUUGUCUUCAUAGUAUAUUCAAGCUUAUGUAAUAAUACUUUAAUUACUUUCCUCUUAAGUUUCAAUAAAUGAUGAGCUUCUGAUUCCAAGAAUCUCCUUUUCUUUAUGCGUUUAGCCAGGCCCAGAAAGUUAUGAGAAUCUCAGUCUUCAAUCUUUGAAACUUAAGAAUUAAGAUGAUCUACUAAGUGUGUACAUGUUUGUGGACAUGUGAACAUUGCUGGGGGGCAAGAAGCCAUCUUACACUUUCUUCAUUGCAUAGUCAUCAUGGACAAAGGCUGCAUUUUAACCUAGAGUACCUGGGAUAUGGGAUUCAAUGCAUUGGGAUCUGAAACACAAUGGGAAAUGCGAUGUGCAGCAUUGUGCUUUGCCCAGGAUGCUCAGACCUCGUCCAUAACCUAGCAGCUUUAUAGAGUUGGCUGUAUCUGACAGUUGUUGGUCCAUAGGCUGAAUUUAACACACUAAUCUGUUUUCUUCUUGACCACUCCCUCCCUUAAAAUAAAAUUUCAAGUUGCACACCCUGGGAGAGAAGGUCUUGGUUAAAAGGACAAAUUUUUCCUAUGAUAAUUUAGAUGUUUUGAUGAACGUUUUAAUUGUCAUUUGUUGCUAAUGCAAGUAAAUGGUGCUGUUUUAAAUGAAAAGUUGAGCUACAUCUUCAGGUAGGAACAUUUUGAAUUAGAUUAAUGGAUUGUAGUCUAAGUGGAAAAGACAUGAUAAAUUGAGAUACAAUUAAAUAGCUCUAUUAAGAAAAAAGGAAUUAAAUCUUCAUUUGAAAUGAAAUGAAAAGGUCUAAUUUGAGCUACUCUGAAUACCUUCCCUUUUUAAUUUUUAAGUUCUUCUAACUACAACUGUUGUCUGGUGCAUUUAUUUUCAGAAAGCAAAGAUAAGCAUGAAAACAUGAACAAUGAAUGGCACAACAAUGAAAAUGAGUCAUUGCAACAACAUCCACAAAAUUCAGCUGACCUGAGGGUGGGAAGAAAACUACAUCAUUUUGAUCAUUUUUCUUCUUAACAUUUUAGUUUGUAGCUUAAGUGCAAAGAAAUACUAGUGUUUUUCUUGUUGUUGUUUUGUAGUUUUCCUGUCCCCUCAGUUCCCUCCAAUGUGUAUAAUACCAUUCUUCAAUGAAGUAAUAGGACAUUUAACAAAGAUCACUAUGUGCAAUACUGUAUUUAGUGUUUCUAUGUCAAUUUUUUAGGAUGUUAAUUUAUAUGAAAAUAAAAUGAAUAAUAAA
rnacentral:lncRNA from 1 species